GCGGCCGGCCGCAACUCGCGGUUCGAGCUAGCACUUUCCCUACAUCCUGCCGCGAACCGUGCUACCAUUAGUUUGGUGGCGCUGGGGAUCGGCUCGAUUACUUUGAGAAAAAUAGAGUGUUCAAAGCAGGCCACACGCCUUGAAUAAGUUAGCAUGGAAUAAUAACUAAGGACUUCGGUUCUAUUUUGUUGGUGUUCGGGACUGAAGUAAUGAUUGAUAGGGACAGUUGGGGCGGUCAGUAUUCCAAAGCGAGAGGUGAAAUUCUUAGACCUUCGGAAGACUAACAGCUGCGAAAGCGUUCCGCAAGGAUGUUCCCUUUGAUCAAGAACGAAAGUUGGGGGAUCGAAGACGAUCAGAUACCGUCGUAGUCUCAACUAUAAACUAUACCAGCUAGGGAUCGGCCAACGUUAUUUUAUACCGACUUGGUCGGCACCUUAUGAGAAAUCAAAGCAUCUGGGUUCCGGGGGGAGUAUGGUCGCAAGGCUGAAACUUAAAGGAAUUGACGGAAGGGCACCACCAGCCGUGGAGCCUGUGGCUUAAUUUGACUCAACACGGGAAAACUUACCAGGUCCAGACAUAGUAAGGAUUGACAGAUUGAUAGCUCUUUCUUGAUUCUGUGGGUGGUGGUGCAUGGCCGUUCUUAGUUGGUGGAGUGAUUUGUCUGGUUAAUUCUGUUAACGAACGAGACCCCAGCCUGCUAAAUAGCGCGAGUGAGCUUUGCUCGCUGCGAGCUUCUUAGAGGGACUAUGAUGCGCGAUAGCACAUGGAAGUUUGGGGCAAUAACAGGUCUGUGAUGCCCUUAGAUGUUCUGGGCCGCACACGGGCUACACUGGCGCCUGCAACGAGCAUAUCAGCUGGCCCGAGAGGGUCUUGGCUAAUCUUUUGAACCGGCGCCGUGCUUGGGAUUGACCUUUGCAAUUGUUGGUCAUGCAACGAGGAAUGCCU
rnacentral:rRNA from 1 species